AGAGAGGCACAAAGCAUUAUCAAUCAUGUUACUGCUCCGUGUCUCUGCUGUCCGGAGCGGGGCUUGGCUCUCUUUCACACAGCGGAUUACCCCCACGGCAUCCGCUCAUGUGAAAGAGCCCUUAUUCUUCCUAGUGCAUGCAAAGAUGAGGUCAAUUCAGGAUUUCAUGCAUGUGCCAGGGAGAGGAGGCUGAUCCAUGCAACUUCACAACAGAAAGUAUAUUGCAAACUUUCUCCUUCAGAUGUUUUCUGCGUAAUUAAGGUAGCUUUGUGGAACCCCGCUGGGUCCCACUCACAUCCUACAAGACUGAACUUUGCAUACUGUGAAGGAAAAGGUUUAGAUCUCAAAAUCCUCAGCCUUUUGCUGACCAUCUAAUGUGUAUGGUGGUCCCCCGACACUCUCCUGAAGGCUGAUGUCUAAGGAAGUAAGGAUUAGGCACGUUUGAUAUCAGCUGCCCAAUCCUUUGGCUCAUCUACCUGAGAA